rnacentral:rRNA from 1 species
UACGUAGGAUGCAAGCGUUGUCCGGAAUUAUUGGGCGUAAAGAGCGCGCAGGCGGUAUGACAAGUCAGAUGUGAAAGAGGCCGGCUUAACCGGCAAGGGUCAUUUGAAACUGUCAGACUAGAGUGCAGCAGAGGAUAGUGGAAUUCCCGGUGUAGUGGUGAAAUGCGUAGAUAUCGGGAGGAACACCAGUGGCGAAGGCGACUAUCUGGGCUGCAACUGACACUGAGGCGCGAAGGCUAGGGUAGCAAACAGG